CCCUUAGAUGUUCUGGGCCGCACGCGCGCUACACUGAUGCAUUCAACGAGCUUCUUCCUGGUCCGAGAGGAAUGGGUAACCUUUUGAAAAUGCAUCGUGAUAGGGAUAGACUAUUGCAAUUAUUGGUCUUCAACGAGGAAUUCCUAGUAGACGUAGUUCAUCAGACUGCAUCGAUUACGUCCCUGCCCUUUGUACACACCGCCCGUCGCUCCUACCGAUUGAAUGCUCAGGUGAGCCAUUCGGACUUUCAUCAUGCUGGUUUCCAGUUUUGAUGAAGGAAAGUCUUGCGAACCUUAUCAUUUAGAGGAAGGAGAAGUCGUAACA
rnacentral:rRNA from 1 species